UGUGUGUGUAUGUCUGUGUAUGUGUUGUGUUGUAUGUGUAUGUAUUGUAUACACACACACACACACACACACACACACACACACACACACAC
rnacentral:miRNA from 14 species